GGUCCCAUCGUCUAACGGCUAGGACAUCAGGUUCUCAUCCUGGAAAUCGGGGUUCGAUUCCCCGUGGGAUCA
rnacentral:tRNA from 1 species